UACGGGAAGGCAGCAGUGGGGAAUAUUGCACAAUGGGCGCAAGCCUGAUGCAGCCAUGCCGCGUGUAUGAAGAAGGCCUUCGGGUUGUAAAGUACUUUCAGCGGGGAGGAAGGCGAUGCGGUUAAUAACCGCGUCGAUUGACGUUACCCGCAGAAGAAGCACCGGCUAACUCCGUGCCAGCAGCCGCGGUAAUACGGAGGGUGCAAGCGUUAAUCGGAAUUACUGGGCGUAAAGCGCACGCAGGCGGUCUGUUAAGUCAGAUGUGAAAUCCCCGGGCUUAACCUGGGAACUGCAUUUUGAAACUGGCAGGCUUGAGUCUUGUAGAGGGGGUAGAAUUCCAGGUGUAGCGGUGAAAUGCGUAGAGAUCUGGAGGAAUACCGGUGGCGAAGGCGGCCCCUGGGCAAAGGCUGACGCGUCAGGUGCGAAAGCGUGGGGAGCAAACAGGGAUUAGAUACCCGU
rnacentral:rRNA from 1 species